rnacentral:tRNA from 1 species
CGGGGCGUGGCGCAGCUUGGUUAGCGCGUUUGACUGGGGGUCAAAAGGCCGCUGGUUCGAAUCCAGUCGCCCCGACCA